rnacentral:misc_RNA from 1 species
CUAGCACACGUCACGCCAGGACACUGUUCUCUAGUAGUCUGCGACGUUGUCUCCUUCAUUUGAGUAUUUGCACACCCCUCCAUCUCCAUCUCCUCUACUCUCUUGACGGGAUAUACGCACCGCAACACACUGGUGUUCGCCUUGUGCCACCAUCGUUAUCAUACAUCAGCAUCAUCGUCAUCAUCUGCGCUCGCUGUUUUGAACGCUUUCUCCCCAUACACACACACGCGCGCACUUCCUCUUUCCGUUCACCUCGCGCCUGUGACUGUUUACUGACACAAGCUGGCUUUUGUUUGUCUGUUCGUCUAUUUCCUUUCUCCUCCUACCCCCCGCCUCCUGUUCGCCGUUGUGUGUGUGUGUGUGUGUGUGCUUCUCCUCUUCUUGGUGGAAGUCUACCCGCUUGGUCACCCUUCAAAUAAAAAAAAACAACGAAAGAGGCAAGACCCGCCCCCGUCCGCCCGCCACCCCCUUCUCCUGCCCUCGUCUUGUCCCCCCCCCUUCUCUCGCUCCUCGAGGUAUACGCAACAGUGGAAAGCCUCUCGGACGCCAUCUCCUGCAGUCCUCCCCCCCCAUCUUAUUACUUCUUCUUCGCACGCUUGUUUUCUGUCUUCGUUUUCUUUCUUACAAUUGAACACCCGCUUGGCUCUCUCUGCUCCCUCGACUCCCACCCCACCCCUCUACGCCCCACACGUCCUCCAUUGUUUUUGUGCCUCUAUGCACACGUGAGCAGACAGCCACUGUCGUACGCCGGCCGGUAGUCUGUAGAGGCUUGCUUCCCGCUUCCUCUCGUCCGUUUCGUGUAUCCUGGCGCGUUUGUUUGCUUCUGCACGCAGGCUUUGGUGCUUCCCCCCUCCCUCCCUCCCUCCCUCCCUCUCCCUCCGAAGCAGGCACACCUUUAUGUAUAACGCGGCUGCUUUCUUCGUUGUAGGGACUGUGAAGGUGUGUCUCUGAACCGCACCCACACGAUACGGAACUUAACUAGGUUCUCGCUUCCUUUUUCUUUCUGUGUGUUUUCCGUUUCUUGCAGACGUUCCGAACACCGACAAAGACGCCGACAUCUCGCAGCACACGGCUGCCUCCCCCUCCCCCUCAGUGCCCUCUUAUCAUUUCCGUCUCCUUUUCCUUUUCGUGUGUACUUUCUUUUUUUGUGGUGUCCGCCCGCUCUCUCGCUCCGCCUCCCUUGCCCGGAGCAAAUUACUCGCGGAAGUCGCCACUUAUCGAAGUGAGCCGUCCUUCGCAAGCAGUAGGCAAGAUGUCGCAUGUGCCCGCCGUGCUGUGGCGUAUGGAGUUGUGGCUGAAUGCUCUCUUCAUUUACGCAGCUUUCACCACAGUCGCGGCGCCGUCCUCGUGCGGGCACAGCCAGGUCGUCCAAGAGCAAGGUCACCUCCCUCUCACAUACGCAGCGCUGCGCAACAAUGGCAACGGUCUGCGCUAUCAGGUCGAAAUGGGCCUCGAGCGAUGGAAUGGCUCGGCCACUGCCGAGCAGCGUGCCGUCGAGCCACAGGCCACCGUCACGAUCAGCAGCGGCAGAGAGGACUCGGAGUGGGCCCCCAUCCGCAUUGCUGUCUUCAUGCCCGAUCUGGAGGACGAAUCGAAGUACUGCACAGCCGUUGGCCAGAUGCGCCCCGAUUCCAGCGGCUCCCUGGUGCCGUGCACCAGCAACGCUGAUCUCUUGACGGAUGCGAAAAAGGCUGUGCUGAUCAACUCUAUACUACCCCAGGCAGUCAACAUGCACGCGCAGCGACUAAAGGUGCGUCGGCUGGCGGCCAGCACCUCCAUCGUCGUGAACUCCAUGCCGGGGUCAUACUGCGGCUCCUUCACCGUCCCGACAGCGCACCGGACAACGGGCGUGCCGAACGCGGAUUUUGUCGUCUACGUGGCAGCGGGUCCGACAUCUACUCCGAAGAGCUUCAUUGCGUGGGCUGUUACUUGCCAGUAUUACCCCAACACGGCCACGAUCACGAGCCGCCCAGCUGUGGGGGCGAUGUACUUUAACCCGCGCUACCUCCCGACAUCGGUAGGGGAGACGCAAGAGCAUAUUGACCGUUAUGGAGGCAACCCGUCUGGUAGCACGAAUCGUCUUCGCCGCGUUGCCGCUCAUGAACUGCUGCACGCGCUCGGCUUCACCUCAAGCGUCUUCAAGGCACGCGGCAUGUUUGCCACCGUCCCGUCUCUGCGUGGAAAAAGGAACGUACCGGUGCUGAACUCAUCGUCUGUGCGCGCGGCUGCCAAGGCCAAGUACGGCAUCUCUGACGAAGAGGUGUUUUAUGGCGCCGAGCUGGAAGAUCAAGGCGCGCCGGGCACGUCACUUUCGCACUGGAAGCGCCGCGCCGCGAAGGAUGAACUGAUGGCUCCUGUGCUCAGUCUGGCGCGCUACAGCUCCUUGUCGCUCGCUGCCCUGGAGGAUAUGGGCUUCUACAAAGUCGACUUCAGUAAGGCGGAGCCUGUUGCCCUCGGCGCCACCGCAGGGGGUAAGCUCUUCACAGAGCCGUGCUUGACGGAAGGCACCUCCAACACCCCUACGGUGUUCUGCGACAGCCUCAGCCCCUCGGUGCGCAGCUGCACGGCGGACCGGUUGAGCAUUGGUCGGUGCGCCCUCACUACCUACUCCUCGUCUCUGCCAAGCUAUGCGCAGUACUUCCCUAAUCAGCCGACCCUCGGUGGCUCUCUGUCGCAUAGCGACUACUGCCCCGUGAUACAGCCCCUCUCCAACACCGGGUGCAGUGGCGGCUCGCUAGGCGCGAUGCCGGGCAGCAUCACUGGUGACAACGCGCGCUGCUUCGACGCAGACAAUUUGCUGGUGAAGUUCACAUUCACUCAGCCUGGUGCCAUCUGUGCCAAGGUACACUGCAAGAGCGCGUCUCGCACCUAUGAGGUACUCGUGAUCGGCGCGAACAGUUGGCUCUCGUGUGGCGCCGGUGGCACUGGGGUGACGGUGCAGCCAGCAGUGAGUAGCCCCAACGUGUUCGUGGAGGGCGGCCUUAUUGCCUGUCCGCCCUACGACGAUGUGUGCUACGCGAACCCGGUCGCCUUCGCGGAAGUGGAAGCGGCCCCCACCACCUCCACAACAGCGUCGCCAAGCGCGGCUACAGCUGCUACGCACGGAAUGGUCGUUAGCGGCCUUGUUGCUGUCGCUGUGUUGCUCGGUUCGGGCAUCUGCUAAGUAGAAGGCGGUGUGGCGGAGACGGGCACUGUACAGCUAUACGCGUCUACUGCCCAUCCUCUUCUUCCACCACUUCCUACUGCUCCCGUGGGUGUGCCUUCCACGACUGCCUCGCUUAUGUGUACGGUGUAUGUAUGAUGUAUACAUGUCCUUGACAGGUGUACGGAAGGCGAAGCACCGGCACGAGCUUCCCAUCACCAUUGUCGUCUCGCGCACCUUUCCUUUCUCCCGUCACAUGUGACGUGUGCGGGGCAGAGCAGAACAGAAGUAGCGCAUGUCAAGCGGAGGGAGGGGGAGACCCCGAGCGAGAGAACGAAGGAGUGCAUGGCAGCGCAAUCCUUCACAACAUAAAUAAACUUUUUUCUCCCCCACUCCCCCCACCCCCCCGCGCGCACUCUUCCUUCCUUUCGCCACGCUUACGCACGCGCAGGAUCGGCUGUCUCGGUGCGACAAGCAUUGCGGCCGUCUUGCGUCAGUAGUGCACUCGGUGCCACCUGCCGCCAACAACAACGGCAGCAGCAGCAGCGGUAUCAGCACACGCAUACGCGACGAGGUGCAACAGACAAAACCACUACUUUACUAUGGUUUGUCUAUUGUUUUAUUCCGGGAAGCCCCCUCACAUGCGUAUCACCGAGCCCUGCAACACAUUUGUUCCUGUUAGCCUCAGCUAUGUACAUAUUGUUCAGCAGCAGCAGCAGCUCUUCCCCUCCCCCUCCUCACUGUUUAGCUUCUAUUCUUUCUGCGUUGAUUGUGCCCUUUUCUUCCCUCCUCCUCCUAAUCCUUCGCUUUCGUUUUUUUUUGUAUGUGUGUGUGUUCUGCGCCCGUUUUGCAGCCCCUCUCCCUUAUCGGCACUUAGGCGUGCAAAGGCGAUUGCUGGCCGGCUCAAUAAAGAAGGCGUCACCCCCUGCCCCUGCAAGCCGACGCGCCACCCCGUCACUCACUCCCUCUAUAAGCAUCUCUUCGCCAUCGCUGUGCUAACAACGUCUCUCCCGUGCUCAUCAGGCUCAAGUCAACGCGACACAUAUAUGUGUAUAUGUGUGUGUGUGUGCGUGUACUACUCCGCUGAUGAGAGGGAAGCCGUCGUUUGGCACAGUACCCGGCUUCCGUCACCUGAUAUUCUUUUCUGAAUGUCGUCCCUAAGUCACGAACUCCUCUAGCAGCACCGUAUACCGAAGCCCGCCUUCCGUCGAACAUCAUCUUGACGUGAGGCUUUCGUUUCCUCACGCUGGCCUCAGCCACACGUUGCGCGCACACACACACACCGUUGUGUUUGGCUGCAAGAGCCUACCCCCGCGCACCGGCGAAUAAACUCACCAGCCUGCU